rnacentral:rRNA from 1 species
UACAGAGGUCUCAAGCGUUGUUCGGAUUCAUUGGGCGUAAAGGGUGCGUAGGUGGCGCCGUAAGUCAGGUGUGAAAUUUCGGAGCUUAACUCCGAAACUGCAUUUGAUACUGCGGUGCUUGAGGACUGGAGAGGAGACUGGAAUUUACGGUGUAGCAGUGAAAUGCGUAGAGAUCGUAAGGAAGACCAGUGGCGAAGGCGGGUCUCUGGACAGUUCCUGACACUGAGGCACGAAGGCCCAGGGGAGCAAACAGG